rnacentral:rRNA from 1 species
GACGAACGCUGGCGGCGUGCUUAACACAUGCAAGUCGAACGGAAAGGCCCUGCUUUUGUGGGGUGCUCGAGUGGCGAACGGGUGAGUAACACGUGAGUAACCUGCCCUUGACUUUGGGAUAACUUCAGGAAACUGGGGCUAAUACCGGAUAGGAGCUCCUGCUGCAUGGUGGUGUUUGGAAAGUUUCGGCGGUUGGGGAUGGACUCGCGGCUUCUCAGCUUGUUGGUGGGGUAGUGGCUUACCAAGGCUUUGACGGGUAGCCGGCCUGAGAGGGUGACCGGCCACAUGGGGACUGCGAUACGGCCCAGACGCGUACGGGAGGCAGCAGUGGGGAAUAUGGCACAAUGGGCGGAAGCCUGAGGCAGCAACGCCGCGUGCGGGAUGACGGCCUUCGGGGUGUAAACCGCUUUCGCCUGUGACGAAGCGGGAGUGACGGUAAUGGGUAAAGAAGCACCGGCUAACUACGUG